rnacentral:lncRNA from 1 species
GCUAUCUCCUUUGGAGAUGUCAAAUGUGGUAGAAAGAUGACACACUGGCUUGGAAACCUAAGACUGGAGAAAUGGCACUGUGGCAAGUGCCUUGUGUGUUCCCUGUCCCCUUCCCCCUCCGGCUCACAGAACUCAGGGAAACACUUAUAUUUACCAGUUUAUUAACAAAGGCUAUAGCAGAGGAAACAGAUGAGUAGCUGGAUGGAGACAUGUGUAGGUAAGGCACAUAGGAAGAGGUGUGGGGCCUCCAUGCCCUCUCUGGAUGUGCCACUCUCCAGGAACCUCCACAUGUUCAGGU